UCGCUCACGCUCUACUUCUCAAACUCAUUUCUACUUCUCAAAAAAGAAAAAGAAAAAGAAAAACUCAUUUCUAGGGUUUCGCCCCAACAUCACCAUCGACGACGGAAGCGAUCGUCUCCGUCUCCAUCUCAUGGACGAGAGCCACAUGACUGCUAAUCGCCGGCCCUUGCCUCGUCGUCUUUUCGAUUCGAGAAGACGGAGCAUUGCCCUCCGGAUCUCCAAUACGGCGUGCCGUUUCAGGUUCGCGAUACCGCUCCGGCCUUCGAUUCAAUCGAUAUGAGUGAUGCCGAUUGGGAGUUCAUUGCUACGGAGCACGAACGAUGUGGUUAGGGUUUCGUGUAAUGGUCUUACCGGAGCUAGAUGCCCAUAACCGGGGAGUUGUCACAAGAAAACAUCGAAGAUCGGUGAUUUGGAUUUGAACUUAUGGAUCCUUCCUGCAAGUAGGCUGAAAGCAGGACCAGUAUGUUGUGAUAAGAAUCAGGUGAUCAGGAAAUUGACGAGUGGUUGAAGUAUAACAUAACAUAGUUUACCCUCAAGGCUCAUUUGAGGAUUAAUAAAGGUAAUGAUUAACCAUAAGUUACAGAGACCUUUACUGCCUUUGGCAUUGGUUUGCCGUUUGGGUUAGCAAUUUACUUGAGAUGAUUAAUAUGAAAUAUUUCUAUUAUUUAUAAACAAAUACUCAGGUGCAUUAAAGAAAUAACAAGGACAAGAACUUUGAUUUGUGGGUAUGUUUGUCAAGUAUAAUUAUUUAAUGAGUGCAUUCCCUUGUCUGUAAUUUUCCUUUUGGCUGUUAAACUGUUAGUAAUGCGUUUAUGAUCAAUUCUACUAAGUUUCUUUUCCCAAUUGAUACUGUUUUAUUUUAGAGUGAAAAAGAUAGUAUUUACUUGUCU